rnacentral:misc_RNA from 1 species
AGCAGCCGCGGUAAUUCCAGCUCCAAUAGCGUAUAUUAAAGUUGUUGCAGUUAAAAGCUCGUAGUUGAAUUUCGGGAUCAAUUAAUUGGUCGUGCCUCUGGUACGUACUGAUUUUAUUGGUUUCUCCCUUCUGACGAACCAUGAUGUCAUUAAUUUGGUGUCGUGGAGAAUCAGGACUGUUACUUUGAAAAAAUUAGAGUGUUUAAAGCAAGCUAACGCUUGAAUACAUUAGCAUGGAAUAAUGAAAUAGGACGUUUGAUCCUAUUUUGUUGGUUUCUAGGAUCGACGUAAUGAUUAAUAGGGAUAGUUGGGGGCAUUAGUAUUCAAUUGUCAGAGGUGAAAUUCUUGGAUUUAUUGAAGACUAACUACUGCGAAAGCAUUUGCCAAGGAUGUUUUCAUUAAUCAAGAACGAAAGUUAGGGAUCGAAGACGAUCAGAUACCGUCGUAGUCUUAACCAUAAACUAUGCCGACUAG